rnacentral:rRNA from 1 species
GACGAACCGUGCGAACGUUGUUCGGAAUCACUGGGCUUAAAGGGCGCGUAGGCGGACCUCCAAGUCCGGGGUGAAAGCUUUCGGCUUAACCGGAAAAGUGCCUUGGAUACUGGGGGUCUUGAGGGAGGCAGGGGCGGAUGGAACUUCCGGUGGAGCGGUGAAAUGCGUUGAUAUCGGAAGGAACGCCGGUGGCGAAAGCGAUCCGCUGGACCUCUUCUGACGCUGAGGCGCGAAAGCCAGGGGAGCAAACGGG